rnacentral:snRNA from 1 species
UGAGUAAAGCUAAUUGGAACACUACAGAGAAGAUUAGCAUAACCCUUGUGCAAGGAUGACACACAAAUACACACACACACACACACACACA